rnacentral:rRNA from 1 species
UGGGGAAUAUUGCACAAUGGGCGCAAGCCUGAUGCAGCCAUGCCGCGUGUAUGAAGAAGGCCCUAGGGUUGUAAAGUACUUUCAGUCGGGAGGAAGGCGUUGAUGCUAAUAUCAUCAGCGAUUGACGUUACCGACAGAAGAAGCACCGGCUAACUCCGUGCCAGCAGCCGCGGUAAUACGGAGGGUGCAAGCGUUAAUCGGAAUUACUGGGCGUAAAGCGCACGCAGGCGGUUGAUUAAGUUAGAUGUGAAAUCCCCGGGCUUAACCUGGGAAUGGCAUCUAAGACUGGUCAGCUAGAGUCUUGUAGAGGGGGGUAGAAUUCCAUGUGUAGCGGUGAAAUGCGUAGAGAUGUGGAGGAAUACCGGUGGCGAAGGCGGCCCCCUGGACAAAGACUGACGCUCAGGUGCGAAAGCGUGGGGAGCAAACA